CUGUGAAAAUGAUGAAAUUAUUUUUUCCAGUUAUCCCUGUCUGAGCACUGAUGAAGAAACGUUCUGAUUCGCCA
rnacentral:snoRNA from 1 species